GGAAAAUGGUUGCAAUUCCUAAACGUUUCAUACAAUAUUUUUGUUCAACCCCUUGAGAUAUUUCCAGACCUAACUGUAUAUUAGUGUGUGAAGUCACUUUCUGCUUAUUGUGCAAAAAACAUAGUUGGUGCAGAAAAAACUGAUUGGCUAGAAAAAGGUUAAUCUAUGCAAUACAAACAACAUCAAACAUGAUUUUCUUAUAAAUUACAACUUGCAUUUGCAUACCUCCGAACAUUAGGAAGUACAUAUUCAAGGAAAGGAGUGGUUGGGCCUAAAGGGGCAUGGCGGUGAGAACACUUUUGUCACUAGUAAUACCAUAAAUGGAUGGUCCUCUCCAGGAAGUGGUGCAGCUGCCUUGAUAAGGCAGCCUCUGUGGCUGGUCUCACUCAAGGCAGAUCAUGCAGACAGGACUGCUGAAGCACUCUAUAUAUGUUCCUGGUGCCCU